GAUGAAGAACGUAGCGAAAUGCGAUAAGUAAUGUGAAUUGCAGAAUUCAGUGAAUCAUCGAAUCUUUGAACGCACAUUGCGCCCCCUGGUAUUCCGGGGGGCAUGCCUGUCCGAGCGUCAUUACAACCCUCAAGCUCAGCUUGGUAUUGGGCCCCGCCGACCCGGCGGGCCCUAAAGUCAGUGGCGGUGCCGUCCGGCUCCGAGCGUAGUAAUUCUUCUCGCUCUGGAGGUCCGGUCGUGUGCUCGCCAGCAACCCCCAAUUUUUUUCAGGUUGACCUCGGAUCAGGUAGGGAUACCCGCUGAACUUAAGCAUCUCAAUAAGCGGAGGA
rnacentral:misc_RNA from 1 species